AAUUCUUCCAUUGUAUAUUUACUAAAGUGAUUGAUAUGUUUCAGCAGCAGCAAGUUCUUUAAGCCUUUAACUGAUACAGUGAGUAUCUUCUUAUUUCUUAAACAACCAUCAGUUUGAUAAAAAGCAGAAAGAUUGGAGUGUUUUUCAAUGGAGAAGGUCAUGUGGUCUGA